AAGUCGUAACAAGGUUUCCGUAGGUGAACCUGCGGAAGGAUCAUUAAUGUGAUUGCAGUAUGUCGACCCGUCAGGGUUGAUAUACGCAAGACUCAUCCUUGUGUUAUGUAUUGUGUGUGUAUAUUGUGACACCAACAUGUCACAAUAUACAUAUUUUUUAAUCCAUAUCCAUCUUUUUCUUAUAUACUGCUCAUUGAGCAACAACAAUCGAAAACUGCCAGCAACGGAUCACUCGGUUCUC
rnacentral:misc_RNA from 1 species